rnacentral:rRNA from 1 species
CAAUAGCGUAUAUUUAAGUUGCUGCAGUUAAAAAGCUCGUAGUUGGAUUUCGGGUGGGAAUGGCCGGUCCGCCGUUUCGGUGUGCACUUGCUACGCCCACCUUGCUGCCGGGGACGUGCUCUUGAGUUCACGCUCGGGACACGGAGUCGGCGAGGUUACUUUGAGUAAAUUAGAGUGUUCAAAGCAGGCCUACGCUCUGAAUACAUUAGCAUGGAAUAACACGAUAGGACUCUGGCCUAUCUUGUUGGUCUGUAGGACCGGAGUAAUGAUUAAGAGGGACAGUCGGGGGCAUUUGUAUUUCAUUGUCAGAGGUGAAAUUCUUGGAUUUAUGAAAGACGAACUACUGCGAAAGCAUUUGCCAAGGAUGUUUUCAUUAA